rnacentral:rRNA from 1 species
GAUGAACGCUAGCUACAGGCUUAACACAUGCAAGUCGAGGGGAAACGACGGCGAAGCUUGCUUUGCCGGGCGUCGACCGGCGCACGGGUGAGUAACGCGUAUCCAACCUGGCCCAUACUAGGGCACAGCCCGUCGAAAGGCGGAUUAAUGCCCUAUGUUCUCGAAAGAAGACAUCUGACUUCGAGCAAAGGUUUUUCCGGUAUGGGAUGGGGAUGCGUCUGAUUAGCUUGUUGGCGGGGUAACGGCCCACCAAGGCGACGAUCAGUAGGGGUUCUGAGAGGAAGGUCCCCCACAUUGGAACUGAGACACGGUCCAAACUCCUACGGGAGGCAGCAGUGAGGAAUAUUGGUCAAUGGGCGCGAGCCUGAACCAGCCAAGUAGCGUGCAGGAAGACGGCCCUAUGGGUUGUAAACUGCUUUUAUGCGGGGAUAAAGUGAAUCACGUGUGGUUUAUUGCAGGUACCGCAUGAAUAAGGACCGGCUAAUUCCGUGCCAGCAGCCGCGGUAAUACGGAAGGUCCUGGUGUUAUCCGGAUUUAUUGGGUUUAAAGGGAGCGUAGGCCGGAGAUUAAGCGUGUUGUGAAAUGCAGGUGCUCAACAUCUGAAUUGCAGCGCGAACUGGUUUUCUUGAGUUCACGGGAAGUAGGCGGAAUUCGUGGUGUAGCGGUGAAAUGCUUAGAUAUCACGAAGAACUCCGAUUGCGAAGGCAGCCCUACUGUAGUGUUACUGACGCUGAAAGCUCGAAGGCGCCGGGUAUCGAACAGGAUUAGAUACCCUGGUUAGUCCGCGCGGUAAACGAUGGAUGCCCGCUGUUUGCCUUAUAAGGUAAGCGGCCAAGCGAAAGCGUUAAGCAUCCCACCUGGGAAGUACGCCGGCAACGUGAAACUCAAGAAUUGACUGCGCCCCCCAAGCGCAGAACAUGUGUUAUUCGAUGAUCGCAGGACCUUCCUGGCUUGAAUUGCAGUGAGGAGACUGAUUCUUUACCUCCCU